rnacentral:rRNA from 1 species
UACGUAGGGUGCGAGCGUUGUCCGGAAUUAUUGGGCGUAAAGAGCUCGUAGGCGGUUUGUUGCGUCGGCUGUGAAAACUUCACGCUUAACGUGGAGCCUGCAGUCGAUACGGGCAGACUUGAGUUCGGCAGGGGAGACUGGAAUUCCUGGUGUAGCGGUGAAAUGCGCAGAUAUCAGGAGGAACACCGGUGGCGAAAGCGGCUCCCUGGCCCGAUACUGACGCUCAUGUACGAAAGCGUGGGGAGCAAACAGG